rnacentral:rRNA from 1 species
CACGUAGGGCGCAAGCGUUGUCCGGAAUUAUUGGGCGUAAAGAGCUCGUAGGUGGUUUGUUACGUCCGCUGUGAAAUCCUAGGGCUUAACCCUGGGCUUGCAGUGGAUACGGGCAGACUAGAGGUAGGUAGGGGAGAAUGGAAUUCCUGGUGUAGCGGUGAAAUGCGCAGAUAUCAGGAGGAACACCGGUGGCGAAGGCGGUUCUCUGGGCCGUAACUGACGCUGGAGGAGCGAAAGCGUGGGGAGCGAACAGG